UGCGGGUUCUGAAACCUCGCUCUGAGGAAGUGUGAGGGGCUCCGCACGUGGGGCGGGGGCAGUGAGCCGGGAGGACGGGUGAGGGUGUUGGGUUCAAUGUCUCGCGCGUGGGGCUGACGUGUUCUCUUUGGGUUUUGAGCGGGGGAUAAAUCAGUGUGGUUAUUGGUCUUGGGAAGAAUUCCACUGCAGGGGGCCGGCGCCAGCGUGAGUGGAAGCCUAACCGAUGGUACCUCAGAGGGCGAGUAGGAGGGUCUUGAAGGCGCCGCUCGGACAGUGACAAUAUGAACCUCUUACCCAAAAGCUGCCAGGAGUUCGGCUCCGUUGACUAUUGGGAGAAGUUCUUCCAGCAGCGAGGAAGGAGAGCUUUCGAGUGGUAUGGAAGCUACCUGGAGCUGUGCGGGGUGCUGCACAAAUACAUCAAACCCAGAGAGAAGCCCAGAAGAAAUGGAAAAAGGACAGGAAGAAGCAGUGGCCUGCUGACACUCCAGAGGACCUCCCCACAGCCCCAGGGCAGUCCAUUGACGAGUUACCUGUGCUGUGAACACCACAAAGCAAUGAUUGCGGGCCUUGCCCUGCUCAGAAACCCGGAGCUGCUCCUAGAGACCCCACUGGCAUUGUUGGUGGUAGGCCUGGGUCGGGGCAGCCUCCCCCUGUUUGUCCACGAUCAUUUCCCGAAGUCCUGCGUUGAUGCUGUGGAGAUCGACCCCUCCAUGUUGGAAGUGGCCACCCAGUGGUUUGGCUUCUCCCAGAGUGACCGGAUGAAGGUCCAUAUUGCAGAUGGACUGGACUAUAUUACCAGCCUGGCGGGAAGAGAAGCAUGGCCCUACUACAGUGUUGUCGUGUUUGAUGUCAUCAGUAAGGACCCAACACUGGGAAUGAGUUGUCCACCACCAGCAUUUGUGGAUCAGCCUUUCCUGCAGAAGGUCAAAAGCAUCUUGACUCCUGAAGGUCUUCUACUAUCCUGAGUUUGUGCUGUCUGUGCCCUGAUGGCUGGCCUUGGGCUGCCAGGGCUAUUCCAGGCCUAUGGAGCUUUGGCCAGAUCUCAACCACCUGAAUGUCCUCAGGGUGAAGCAAUCUCUCACCCAAAAUAUUUCAGCAAUGGAGCUUUAAACUGGAGCCUGCUCCUGUCACCUGGCCUCUUCAGCACUCAAUCCUUUCCGGGUUUCUGGCUGCCCUGACCUGCUUGGCCCAUGGACGUGCUGACCACACUGUCUUGUGGAUCUCUGGCCAAGCUCAACCACGACACAGCCUCCUGCAUGGAGGAAGCCAACCCCUACCAAAUCCUUCUAAGGAAGCAGCUGCAAAUGGAUGACAGUCCCCAUUUAGACUGGCUGCCUACUGGGAUCCCGGCUCUCUCCAGUGACCAGGGCUCCCAGUUGUCUCUUAUUGGAGGAUAUCCUGGCCAGACUGCUUGGUUGCUCCAUGGCAGGCCAGUUGAAUAACCUUUAGGUCUGCCUUCAUGGGGAAUUCCCUGUUUGGCUUGUAGGGCUUUCAAUUAGGCAUAAACCCUAUCCCCUAAGAGUUUGCUCUUGUGCUCUAGCGUCUCCCAACUCCUGUCCUGUUCCAGAUCCCUGGCUUCCCUGAAUAGCACUGCAUAUGCAUAUGCCACAUGCACACAUUCAGCAGGCUUUGGACAGCAGGGUCCUAGAGUCACACAGAACUAGGACUGGACCCAACCAGCUGCAGAGCCUCCAGGAAGGAAUGAGUCCACCCCUCAAUAAUCACACUGAGGCAACAGAUUGCUGAUCGUCCCCAUUUGCACUUGCUACUUGAUCAGGCUCUGGCUUCUUUAGCAAGUGGGACUCUCAGGUGUGUCCUACUGGAGGUACACCUGCUAGAUACCCAGCCCACAAUGACAGAAGCAAUGCAGUCUGCUGCAGCUCUGUCUCCAGGGGCAGUACGUGUAUUUGUAUAGCCUAAGACUUAAAAUUAAGCCCAUUCCCUGUUCUUUACACGUCUAUACUUGUGUUCCUGACCCUUGCUACAUUACAGAUACCUGGCAACCCUGACCCCCCCCCCCCCCCCCCGCACAUGCAUACACAGUACACACCCCUGUAGCAGGCUGUGGGUAGCCCAGGCUGACCUGGGAAACUGACCUCCCCCAACCACCUGCAUGCCUCCAGCUUGGAGGGAGCCCACCCCCAGAAAUCACUCAGAGGCAGCUGCAAAUUGGCAACAGUCAGUCCCCAUUUGGACUUCCUUCUUGAUCCAGUUGUGGGCUGCUUUUGCAUCCAGGGCUUCGAGGUAUUUUUUUUUUUUUUUGCUUCGAGGUAUUUUUUAUUGGAGGAUACGUGAGCCAGCUGUCCAGCCCACCCUGGCAAGGUAGUCCAGUAUCUUCUGCCUUCAUGAGGAAUAUGGGUGUUUGUGUAGGCUAGGGCUUACAGUUAUGCCCAUACCUUGUUCCACAAGAGCUUGAUCCUGUGAUCUUGCCUUUCCAGACCCUUACCCUGGUCAAGAUCCCUGGCACCCUUAAAUGCACUGUGCCCAUAUGUGCAGUACAUAUCCCUUCAGCAGGCCUUGGGCAGCUAAAACUCUCCACACUGGGGAAGCUAGGUCCAAGCCCCAAUCAACUGCAUAGCUACCCAAAUAAAGAGAGCCUACCUCCUGAAAAAUCACUCUGAAGUAGCAGCUGCAAAUAGGCAACAUACAGUCCUCAUUUGACUUGCUGCCUGAUCGGGCUGGGCUUCUCUAGCAGUCAGGCCUCCCAGCUGUCUCUUCUUAAUGGCCCCUCCCUAGCAAGUCAGUCGAGUGACCUUGAGCGCUACUAUCAGAGGAAAUUCCUCAUUUCUUAGGUUAGGGCUUGUCAUUAGGCAUAAGCUUUGAUUGUCAAGACCUUGCUCUAACCAUAACCAGACUUCCCCCUGGGGUUUCUUAUUGGAGGAUUCACCAGAAAACAGCCUAGCCCAACCCGACAAGGUGGUCUAAUAUACUCCAGUUCUGCUUAAGGGGGAAUAUGGGCAUCUGUGCAGGAAGGGCUAGCUUCUAGGCAUAGGCCUGUCCCCCAAGAGUCUGUUCCUGUGGGCCAGCCUCUCCAGGUCCAUGCCCAGUGGCUGCUUCAGAGUGAUUUUAGGGGGCUGGGCUCUCCCCCCCACAAGGCUGGUUCACAGGAGCGGGUUUUUGGGGAUACAAGGUUAUCUGCCUAAUUCUAAGAACUGAUCUACACAAAUGUCCAUAUUCCACAAGAAGGCAGAGCUGGAGGAGUCUUGAUGGUGUUGCCACAUCAAGGCUGGAUAGAGGUCCAGGGUACUCCAAUAAGAGACAGCUUGGGAGCCUUGAAUCCUGGAAAAGCCUGGGACCCCACCAGGCAGCCUGUCCAAAUGGGGACUUACUGUCAACACUUUAAAGCUGCCACUUCAUAAAGAUUAUCACCAAUUUAAAUCAGUCCCCAUUUGGACUUGUUGCUUGAUCGAGUCUUGGGUUUCUCAUAUUGAAGGAUACCCCUGCAAGUUUCCCCAGCCCUUCCAUAAGGAGGCAGUUGAGUAAUUUGGACCUCUGCCUUCAGGAGGGAGUAUUACCAUUGAGCAGGUUACUACUGAGGGUUAGGCAUAUGUUGACCCCCACCCCCGGCCCUGCUCCCAUGACCUGGCCUCUACAGAGCCUUGCCCUCUUCCAGAUGCCUGUCACCUCUGAACUGCACUUCAUGUGCAUGUGUAGCAAGCGCCCCUGUAGCAGGCCUUGGGAAGCUGGGUCCCUCAUAAGGGUUUCGGAGGAUGUUGAUAAUUCAGAACCCUUGCGCACUGUUGGGAACAUAAAAUGUGGCAGCCACUAUGGAAAACAGUAUGGGGGUUCCUCAAAAAAUUAAUGAUAGAAUUACCCUAUGAUCAAGAUAUCCCAUUUCUGGGUAUAUAUCCAAAAGAAUUGAAAGCAGUAUCUUGAAGAGGUACUUGCAUCCCCAUGUUCAUAGCAGUACUAUUCACAGUAGCUAAGAGGGGGAGCAACCCAAAUAUCCACUGGUGGGUGGAUGCAUAGACGCAGUAGGAUGCUAAUCAGCCUUGAAAAAGAAGGAAAUCGUCACAUACGCUACAAGAUGGAUCAUCCUUGAGGAUACUGGGCUAAUCACAAAAAGAAAUACCAUAUGGCUCCACUUGUAUAGGGUAUCUGAAGUAGUCACAUUCAUAGAAAUAGAAAGUAGAACUUUUCAUUGCCCAGGUUUUGGGAGAGGCUAAGAUGGGGAGUUGUUCAAUGGCUAUAGUUUCCAUUUUACAUGAAAAAAUACUAGAGAUCUGUUGCACAAUAAUGUGGAUAUUGCUAACACUACUCAACUAUAUACUUUAAAAUGGUUAAGAGGGAGGGCACCUGCCUGGCACGGUUGGUAGAGCAUGUGACUCUUGAUCUCAGGGUCAUGAGUUUGAGCCCCACAUUGGGUGCA